rnacentral:lncRNA from 1 species
AAAAUAUAUAGUUUCUAUAUACUUUUGUAUGUAGAAUGGGAGAUAAUUGGCCACUUCCGGUUUGUUGGAAGUCAUUUUGAGUCUUCAGUAAUCAGUUUAUGUAUCUAUAUGACAAAAUAUAUGGAUUCUGAGUAAUUUUAUAUGAAAAAAUUGCAAAAAAGGCUACUUCCGGUUUUCUCAAGGUCACUUCCGGUAGUCAUUUCUCAAGGUCAUUUGUCACGUAACCUUUUGUACAAGGUCAAAUGCCUUUAUAAUGAACUUAGUUGAAGUUAUAAUCAAAUAACCUCAUAUCAAGACAUAUUAGGGGCACCAACUCCUUUAAGAUGCCAUUAAGUUGUAUAAGACUAAAUGUAGCAUAUCUUCAUUACAAUAAAGCAGACAUUUUGCACUUGUUCUUUUAUAUGUAUCUUUCAAAGUGUCGAAGAAAAUGCAAAAACAAACA